rnacentral:lncRNA from 1 species
CUUCCCCUUGCCUUCUCUCUUCUUUUUCUCUUCUCUUCUCUUUUUUUCUUUUUUCUUUUCUUUUCUUUUCUGACAGGGUCUCACUCUGUCACCCAGGCUGCAGUGCAGUGAUAUAAUCACAGCUCACUGCAGCCUUGACCGCCUGGGCUCAAGUGAUCCUCCCGCCUCAGCUUCCUGAGUAGCUGGGAUUGCAGGCAUGAGCCACCACACCCAGCUAAUGUUCUAAUUUUUUGUAGACACAGGGUCUCCCCAGGUUGCCCAGUCUGGCCUGCAACUCUCGGGCCCAAGCAAUCCUCCCGCCUCAGCCUCCCACAGUGCUGAGAUGACAGGCGUGAGCCACCGCACCCGGCCUGAAAUUUUCUCAACAGGCCGAUCAUCUCUUCUCUGGGGAAGCGGAGGCCCCCUCACCCUCUCAUUACUGCAAAGCCUGCCUCCCACGGUCCCUGGCUGUGUGCUGUGUUCCUGAGCGCAGCCCAGAGUUGGGGGGGACCCUGCGUGGUGUGGGGUGUUCCCUCCCCCGCGACGUCUAUCUUAUCUGUCCAGCACCUGAGGUCCUGUGUUCAACCAGCCCCAUGACCUUUCUCUGAUGCCCCAGGGUUGAGUCACAGCCAAGCUAUGGCCUGAACCCAGCUUGCCUUGUCCUGGAGGUCACGCCUGGCCCAGCAGCUGCAGUCAUCGCUGGAUGCACAGGGAUGGGCACCAGGCAAGAAACACACCAAGCCCUCACUGGCUCUCCCUGGCGCUGAGCCCUGUCCCAGGGAUGUCUUUGAAAACUUGCUCCCACUGGCUGGACGCAGUGGCUCACGCCUGUAAUCCCAGCACUUUAGGAGGCUGAGGCGGGCAGAUCACCUGAGGUCAGGAGUUCGAGACCAGCCUGGCCAACAUGGUGAAACCCCGUCUCUACUAAAAAUACAAAAAUUAGCCGGGCGUCAUGGCGGGCGCCUGUAAUCCCAGCGCUACUCAGGAGGCUGAGGCAGGAGACUAGUUCUGUCUCAAAAAAAAAAAAAGAAAACUCGCUCCCACCAGACAGACCCUGAGCCCCCCCCACUCCUCUCUGCCUCACUCCAUCCCAGCCACUCCUUGGCUACUGGCAUGACCAAGAGGUUGUCUGCCCAUACAUGGAGCCUCCCGGCAGGGCCUCCAGCUGCCGCCCCUCCUGAAAGCCGAAUUCGACAGGCCAGAUUCUGCAGGGGCGGUGAGACCACGGCUCGCCCCAGGGCGGGCCAUGGGUGUUUUCUUGACCUAGAAAUCAGACCAGUGACCGUCCCAGCCUGUGGGAGCUGAGGGCUGGAAACUGCCAGGGACCUGCCAGUGCCAGGUAUAGUCACAGGGCAGGUCAUGAUAUGCCCGUGUGAGCCAGACACCACGCUACUCAAGAGGCUCUCAGAGCUCCAGAGGUCAGGAGGCCAGAAGGAAGGUGCCAGCAGAGCCAGGCUCCCUCCUACCCCUCCAGAUUCCGGUGGUGGCCAGUGGUCCUUGGCUCCUUGGCCGCACCGCUCCAAUCUCUGCCUCCAUCUUUUUUUUUUUUUUUUUUUUUGAGACAGAGGCUCGCUUUGUCACCCAGGCUGGAGUGCAGUGGCACGAUCUCAACUCACUGCAACCUCCAACCUCCCGGGUUCAAGUGAUUCUCCUGCCUCAGCCUCCCAAGUAGCCUGCCAUCACACCCGGCUAAUUUUUGUAUUUUUAGUAGGGACGAGGUUUCGCCAUAUUGGCCAGGCUGGUCUCGAACUCCUGACCUUGUGAUCCACCCAGCUUGGCCUCCCAAAAUGCUGGGAUUACAGGUGUGAGCCACCAUGCCCGGCCUCUACCUCCAUCUUCACAUGGCCUUUCUCGGUGGGUAGGGGGGACAGGGAUUCACUUUGUUGUCCAGGCUGGAGGGCAGUGGCACGAUCAUAGCUCACAGCAGCCUCAACCUCCCAGGCUCAAGCGAUCCUCCCACCUCAGCUUCCCAAAUAACUGGGACUACAGACGUGUGCCACCACGCCCAGCUAAUUUUUGUAUUUUUUGUAGAAACGGGGGUCUCACUAUUACCCAGGCUGGUCUUGAACUCCCGGGCUCAAGCGAUCUUUCUGUCUCAGUCUCCCAAAGUGCUGGGAUUACAGCUGUGAGUCAACAUACCGCGCCCAGCCCCCACGUAGUCUUUUCUUUCUUUUUUGAGACAGAGUCUCACUGUCGCCCAGGCUGGAGUGCAGUGGCAUGAUCUCGGAUCACUGCAACCUCCCCCUCCCAGGUUCAAGCAAUUCUCCUGCCUCGGCCUCCCGAGUAGCUGGGAUUACAAGCACCUGCCACCACGCCCAGCUAAUUUUUGUAUUUUUAGUAGUGACGGGGUUUCACUAUAUUGGCGAGGCUGGUCUCGAACUCCUGACCUCAGGUGAUCCGCCUACUUCGGCCUCCCAAAGUGCUGCGAUUAUAGCCGUGAGCCACCGUACAUACCCAGCCCCCAUGCAGUCAUAAGGACUAGGGCCCACCCUACUUCAGCAUGAUGUCAUUCUAACUACCUCCACAUCCGCAUCCUAACAAAUUACAUCUACCCUAUUUCCAAAUAAGGGCCUAUUUAGGAAUUCAGUAUUUUUGUGGAGGACACCAAUUGAGCUCUCACCGGACACCCUGAGUGGGGGACAGGGUGCCCCAUCUGACCCUCUGCCAGUGGAACUCAGCCUCACACUGCUGUGGAGUGGGAAUCCCGUAGAAUUGUGAGCCCCUGAAGCUGCUGCACGCCACUGCCACCCAACGUGGAUUCUGGGGUGUCCUUGACAAGACUGAGCACUCCACGGGUACCAGCCCCAUCUCAGGUGCCCAGAGGAAGGCCAGAGACGGGGCUGGGGACUCGGGGCUCGGGGUCACCCCACUGAGGAAGGCUGGGCCAGAGUGUGGUUGCAUGCUCCCAGCAAUGGGAGCCCCCGGGGGUCCUGGUCUCCUGGUGUAGCUGGUCCGCCCCUCCCCAGCAGGGUUCAUGUUCUGCUGGUUCCAGGAAAAGGGCUGGGAGUAUGAGUUUGGGCCCUGCUGUGCUUCCGUGGACCUCAAUUUCCUUGACUGACCAGAGGGGCUGACCUGAGAGGCCUCCUGGUCUUCUGGGGGCUGAGGGGGUGAUGGUCCUGGCCUCCGGUGGGGUCCCAGAGGCCUCCGAGAGGCCAAGGCUUGAUGCUUUGUGUACUAGGGGAUGAGAAGCCCUAGGGGGUCUGGUAGGGAGUGCUGAAGGCUGUGACGAUUAACCAGAUUGGAUGUACUAGAUGUAUUAUUAUUAUUAUUAAUUAUUGUUAUUUGUAGAGAUAAGGUCUCACCAUGUUUGCCAGGCUGGUCUCGAACUCCUGGGCUCAAGUGAUCCUCUGCCUCCACCUCCCAAAGCACUGGGAUUACAGGCAUGAGCCACCAUGCCCAGCUUGAAAUAUGUUUUUAUUAUGGUUAAAGUACACAUAGCAGGCCAGGUGCGGUGGCUCACGCCUGUAAUCCCAACACUUUCGGUGGCCGAGACGGGUGGAUCACCUGAGGUCAGGAGUUCGAGACCAGCCUGGCCAACGUGGCGAAACCCCGUCUCUACUAAAAAUACAAAAAAUUAGCUGGGUGUGGUGGCAGGUGCCUGUAAUUCCAGCUACUCGGGAGGCUGAGGGAGGAGAAUCGCUUGAACCUGGGAGGCAGAGGUUGUAGUGAGUUUAGAUCGCGCCACUACACUCCAGCCUGGGUGACAGAGGCAGACUCCAUCUCAAAAAAUAAAUAAAUAAAAUACACAUAACAUACAAUGCACCACUUUCACCCUUUUUCCUUUUUUUUUUUUUUUUUUUGAGACGGAGUCUCGCUCUGUCGCCCAGGCUGGAGUACAGUGGUGCGAUCUCGGCUCACUGCAAGUUCCACCUCCCAGGUUCACGCCAUUCUCCUGCCUCAGCCUCCCGAGUAGCUGGGACUACAGGUGCCACCACACCCAGCUAAUUUUUUUUUUCGUAUUUUUAGUAGGGAUGGGGUUUCACCGUGUUAGCCAGGAUGGUCUCGAUCUCCUGACCUCGUGAUCCGCCCACCUCAGCCUCCCAAAGUGCUGAGAUUACAGGCGUGAGCCACCGUGCCCGGUGUACCGUGCAUUUAUGAGACAAGGUGUUGCUCUGUCACCAAGGCUGGAGUGCAGUGGCGGGAUCACAGCUCACUGCAGCCUCCACCUCCAGAGCUCAAGUGAUCCUCCCGUCUCAGCCUCCUGAGUAGCUGGGACCACAGGCAACCCCACUACACCUGGCUCACAUACAAUUUUUGUGUGGAUGUACCUUUUCC